UACGGAGGGGGGCUAGCGUUGUUCGGAAUUACUGGGCGUAAAGCGCACGUAGGCGGCUUUGUAAGUUAGAGGUGAAAGCCCAGGGCUUAACCCUGGAAUUGCCUUUAAAACUGCAUCGCUAGAAUUGUGGAGAGGUAAGUGGAAUUCCGAGUGUAGAGGUGAAAUUCGUAGAUAUUCGGAAGAACACCAGUGGCGAAGGCGACUUACUGGACACAUAUUGACGCUGAGGUGCGAAAGCGUGGGGAGCAAACAGG
rnacentral:rRNA from 1 species